rnacentral:rRNA from 1 species
GAUAAACGCUGGCGGCGUGCCUAAUACAUGCAAGUCGAGCGAACGGACGAGAGGCUUGCUUCUCUGAUGUUAGCGGCGGACGGGUGAGUAACACGUGGAUAACCUACCUAUAAGACUGGGAUAACUUCGGGAAACCGGAGCUAAUACCGGAUAAUAUUUUGAACCGCAUGGUUCAAAAGUGAAAGACGGUCUUGCUGUCACUUAUAGAUGGAUCCGCGCUGCAUUAGCUAGUUGGUAAGGUAACGGCUUACCAAGGCAACGAUGCAUAGCCGACCUGAGAGGGUGAUCGGCCACACUGGAACUGAGACACGGUCCAGACUCCUACGGGAGGCAGCAGUAGGGAAUCUUCCGCAAUGGGCGAAAGCCUGACGGAGCAACGCCGCGUGAGUGAUGAAGGUCUUCGGAUCGUAAAACUCUGUUAUUAGGGAAGAACAUAUGUGUAAGUAACUGUGCACAUCUUGACGGUACCUAAUCAGAAAGCCACGGCUAACUACGUGCCAGCAGCCGCGGUAAUACGUAGGUGGCAAGCGUUAUCCGGAAUUAUUGGGCGUAAAGCGCGCGUAGGCGGUUUUUUAAGUCUGAUGUGAAAGCCCACGGCUCAACCGUGGAGGGUCAUUGGAAACUGGAAAACUUGAGUGCAGAAGAGGAAAGUGGAAUUCCAUGUGUAGCGGUGAAAUGCGCAGAGAUAUGGAGGAACACCAGUGGCGAAGGCGACUUUCUGGUCUGUAACUGACGCUGAUGUGCGAAAGCGUGGGGAUCAAACAGGAUUAGAUACCCUGGUAGUCCACGCCGUAAACGAUGAGUGCUAAGUGUUAGGGGGUUUCCGCCCUUUAGUGCUGCAGCUAACGCAUUAAGCACUCCGCCUGGGGAGUACGACCGCAAGGUUGAAACUCAAAGGAAUUGACGGGGACCCGCACAAGCGGUGGAGCAUGUGGUUUAAUUCGAAGCAACGCGAAGAACCUUACCAAAUCUUGACAUCCUUUGACAACUCUAGAGAUAGAGCCUUCCCCUUCGGGGGACAAAGUGACAGGUGGUGCAUGGUUGUCGUCAGCUCGUGUCGUGAGAUGUUGGGUUAAGUCCCGCAACGAGCGCAACCCUUAAGCUUAGUUGCCAUCAUUAAGUUGGGCACUCUAAGUUGACUGCCGGUGACAAACCGGAGGAAGGUGGGGAUGACGUCAAAUCAUCAUGCCCCUUAUGAUUUGGGCUACACACGUGCUACAAUGGACAAUACAAAGGGCAGCGAAACCGCGAGGUCAAGCAAAUCCCAUAAAGUUGUUCUCAGUUCGGAUUGUAGUCUGCAACUCGACUACAUGAAGCUGGAAUCGCUAGUAAUCGUAGAUCAGCAUGCUACGGUGAAUACGUUCCCGGGUCU